CAGGUCGCACUCGCGUCCCGCACCCAACAUCAAGUCGGUGAAGAUGCUCACUUUCUCUCUUUCUCUCUCUCUCUUUCUCUCUCUCUCUUUCUCUUUCUCUCUUCUCGCGUUCGCAAUCCUUCUAGCUAUGCGGUUCCUAUGAUGCGUUACGCGGAAUUUUCGUCGCGGCACAAAAGUCGUAUCACCGCUAGCGAUCGCAUGAAAGUCGCGAGCUCCAUUGCGGAAGAUCGCGAGUGAAGUGGACGGCGACAGUAUCAACACGAUAACGACGGCAAGGAUGAUAGAAGCGCGAGUAGCAACGGUCGCGGCGAUGUUACGAGGGGAACGGCGACACACGACGAUACAUUCCCAACGGCUUUUGUACGACAAAAUUCAUGACUGACGAAUCCUCGUGUUCUUAAAUGAGAAAAAAAAAUUGAUCAUCGGCUAACAUCCAUCUGAUAUCGAUAGCGAACGAGAUUCUAAAAGAUGCAGCAUUUUUGGGAUGGCGCGCGCGGAGUCGCGCGCGAAAAGUCUUAAACGCGACUUAAGAUCGCGCGCGAGGAGAGGAAGAAAAGUAUCGGCGUCGUAUCGUUUCCCGGCCACAGCCGGCCAGAUAGGUUCAUACCAGCGCAAUAUUACGCCUGUUACAGCGAUACGAUAGUGGCCGUUGAUCGUGCGGCUCUCGAAGUGGCUAUGCAAAUUAACACGGGCUCUAUCGAGCGAGAUUGCCCGGAGAGAGCCCCGGCGAAAGAGAGCAAAGGAUAGAUACGGAGGUCGGAAGGAGAGGAAAGGAGACGGGGAUGGAGUAAUGUACGGGAGAGAAGGAAGAACGGAGAGGGAAGAGCCGCAGGGCAGAGGAUUCGGGCGAGCACCGGAGAGAAAGAGAGAGAGAGUGAACGAGGAUAAAAAAGGCAGAAGAGGAGCGUUGACCGAAGGUCGUAGAAAAGAAUGAUGACGAAUGAACGGGAUGCGCCUCGCGUGGCCGCGGCUUCAUCAAUAAUCGGCCAACCUUAUGGAACCCGGCACGCAGACGGUGUAAUACCGGUCUAAGUAGCUGCGCAAGUAUGUGUGCGGCUCUCGCUUUGGCGGUUCUGGCUUUGGCGGACGAUAAACGCCGGGUGGAGAAACGGCGCCCCCGACAGCAUCGUAGAAAUAGGCAAUUCGCUCGUGUGGAUUCCAUGGGGAUUCUGCAGCGGAUUUCUAGCGGAAUCUUGAGUCACGUGAAAAUGGAAAUGAUUUGCCGGUCAGCCGAUGGAUCGUCCGCAGCUGUGAUCUACGGCGGAUGCGUUGAAAAGAUGCGCAAUAAAAAAGAUGGCCUACUUCCUGAGAUCUCUUCGUGCCGACACCGUGAAAUUCGAUCGAGUUCGCAGCGUUACGAGAUCAGACAAUAAGCGUGUUUGGGAGAGAAAGAGGGGUGCCAAUAAAAAAAAGUCGAUUUGCCUUCCAUAA